CUACAGAGACAGAGCUCACUGUCCUACUGAGUACAGCAGGUGACAUCAGGCUACAGGUCACAGAUGUCUGAGCUUCCUCUAGAGUUGCUGGUGCUAAACAAAUGCCCCUCAUCAGUAACGUUCCCCCCUAUAUAGCACCCCUGCUGCUUCAUCCCGCACUCACACUUCCUGUCUGUUCCCUUAGCUACGAUACUACGAGAGCCGCACAGAUACCGAAUGUAAAGGGGUGAUUGACCUGGCAGAAGUGGAGGCGGUUAUUCCAGGCACCCCGAGUCUAGGUGCCCCCAAAACAGUGGAUGAAAGAGCAUUUUUUGAUCUGAAGACGACGCGUAGAGUUUACAACUUUUGUGCUUCGGACCCUGUGCUGGCUCAACAGUGGAUUGACCGCAUCCAGAGCUGUUUGUCAGAUGCGUGAGAUCUCAGGGGUAAUUAACCAAAAUCUGCCAGAGCCUAGGCACUCCAACUCUGCACUCCACGACUGCUUUUUGCUUAAACCCCAAUACCAGUGUUGAGAAGGGGAACCCAUACAUUUUGCAGCUAAAACUACAAAGUGUUCAUGGCCUUCUAAAUCAUGCAGGGAAAUGGAGCGACUUCCCCAGAAUAAUUGGGGUAAAUGCUUCCCCAACAGGGCAGCUGAAAGAGGGAACCAGUAAAGUAUGUGCAGUGCUUAUGGUGCCUCCCAAGAAGUCAUAAACCGCAUUCCUCAAUAAACCUGGUUACUCUAACAAGUGAGGUGUUUGCAAAUGGAACCUAUCAGCCAAUAAGCUGUCGGCGCACUCGGCCUGUACUCACAUUCUGACUGGCCAGAGAUUUCAUGGUUAAACGGUUGCUCCUGUCAGACACUCAAGGGAAGAAAAUCAAUGUCGGUCCAUUGCAGAUUAACUGACCAACCUGAUGUAACAAAAGCGGGAAAAGCUGCUCAGAUACAAGGGACGGCACCCGUGUCAUUUUAUUGAUGAGAUCUACGGUGUGGGGGGAGAGGAUUGAUGUCUUGCACCUUUUUAGUUAUGUCUCAGGCCCCUAGCACAUCUCUUAGAAAACAGGCAAAAACCACUAAAUAUUUUAUUAGAUUUCCAAAUCAUAGGAUUUCCAUUGUGAAGAAACAUCACGGCCCCCCAAUACUGACAUGGGGAGCGCCUGUGUGUGCCCACUGUACUAUAAAUACUCAGCAGAAUAACCCCUUAUGCAUUGUGGGCUGCAUGUGGAGGAACGAUCCGGGCACAGUGACUUGCAUGAUGUGGGUUGCACAGUUUGGGUAUAGUAAAGCAGUGCUCUCCCUGGGGGGGACAGGAAACCUUUGGGUUGUUAACGGUAUUUUAACUCUGUGAUUAUUGUACUUCAUUUAAUUAUUAUUAUUAUUAUUGUAUAUUACUGUAUAUAGGGGAAUGUCCUAGAACCAUACAGGGCUGAGACAGAAAGACGAGAUUGAGGGGAUUUGUCAGCCCUUUCACCACCAGAGAGCGUUUGUAGGAAUUGUUCUACAUCAGGAAUUCGCUAAAACUGCAGGAUGAACUUGCUCGUACAUAACCUUGUGAGCACAAGCCUCAUAUCUGUAGCUUUAUUUUAGUUGCAGCCGUCACCAGGGCAGAAUAAUACUUAGGUCCUGUUUCAUACUAUGGUCCGUUUAAUUUAUCUAAAUCUAGUGCAAGAUUAGCUCUGUCGUCUGGUCUGUAAAUACAAAGCACCAACCAACACCAGUUACUGUCUAUUCCUAUUACUGCGGAACAUUUACUGUCCUGGCAGGGUCCUAUCAACCCCGCAGUGAUGUCUGUAAAAGAACAAGGGUCUCAUGUCCUCUCUUGGGGUGAAAGGGUUUCUCACAGUUUCUUUCCUUCAGCACAGAGAUGUUAUUUCUCAGUCAGCGCAGCCGAUCUUUGUACAUUAUGUUAAUUCUCAGGUGAAAGCUUCCCGUCUUUGUAGAAUAUACCGUCUUUGUACAUUGUGUCGACCAUACAGUUUUCGGUUGUGCCUAGGUAUAUAAAUACAGGAAUAUAUCCAGAGAGAAUAAAGACAAACUAACAUCUUUAUUAAGAA